CCGUAGGUGAACCUGCGGAAGGAUCAUUCACAAACGAGUGUUUUAUGGCACUCUUUAAAAAUCCAUAUCCACCUUGUGUGCAAUGUUUGUUGGGAAAGUCUUUUCUUUCCCUUCAUAAAUAUCAACCUAUAUCUUUAACAACAUUCGUCUGAUAACAUAUUAUGAAUAUACUUAAUUCAAAAUAUAACUUUCAACAACGGAUCUCUUGGCUCUCGCAUCGAUGAAGAACGCAGCGAAAUGCGAUACGUAAUGUGAAUUGCAGAAUUCAGUGAAUCAUCGAAUCUUUGAACGCAUAUUGCGCUCUUUGGUAUUCCGAAGAGCAUGCUUGUUUGAGUAUCAGUAAACACCUCAACCUCUCUUUUUGACAAAAAAAGAGAGGGUGGACUUGAGCUAUCCCAACGACCUUCACCGGUAGGCGGGCGGCUUGAAAUGCAGGUGCAGCUGGACUUUUAUCUGAGCUAAAAGCAUAUCUAUUUAGUCCUCGUCAAACAGGAUUAUUACUUUUGCUGCAGCUAACAUAAAGGAUAAUUGUCCUCUUUGCUGACUGAUGCAGGAUUUUACGACACUUUAUGUGUUGUUCAACUCGAUCUCAAAUCAAGUAAGACUACCCGCUGAACUUAAGCAUAUCAAUAAGCGGAGG
rnacentral:rRNA from 1 species